UACGGGGGAGGACAGUGUUGUGAAUCAUUGGGCGUAAAGGGCGCGUAGGUGGUUCUGUAUGUCUACCGUGAAAGCGUACGGCUCAACCGUAUUUUGUCGGUAGAAACUGCAGGACUUGAGGCUGGGAGGGGCUGGUGGAAUUCCCUGUGUAGCGGUGAAAUGCGUAGAGAUGGGGGAGAACACUCGUGGCGAAGGCGGCCAGCUAGACCAGUUCUGACACUGAGGCGCGACAGCGUGGGGGAGCAAACAGG
rnacentral:rRNA from 1 species